GACGAACGCUGGCGGCGUGCUUAACACAUGCAAGUCGAACGGUGAACCAGGGCUUGCCCUGGGGAUCAGUGGCGAACGGUGAGUAACACGUGGGCAACCUGCCCCUGACUCUGGGAUAACUCCUCGAAAGAGGUGCUAAUACCGGAUACGACCACUUCGGGCAUCCGAUGGUGGUGGAAAGAAUUUUGGUCAGGGAUGGGCCCGCGGCCUAUCAGCUUGUUGGUGGGGUAACGGCCCACCAAGGCGACGACGGGUAGCCGGCCUGAGAGGGCGACCGGCCACACUGGGACUGAGACACGGCCCAGACUCCUACGGGAGGCAGCAGUGGGAAAUAUUGCGCAAUGGGCGAAAGCCUGACGCAGCGACGCCGCGUGAGGGACGACGGCCUUCGGUUGUAACCGUCUUUCUAGCAGGGACGAAGCGAAAGUAGACGGUACCUGCAGAAGAAGCACCGGC
rnacentral:rRNA from 1 species